rnacentral:rRNA from 1 species
AUUGAACGCUGGCGGAAUGCUUUACACAUGCAAGUCGAACGGCAGCACGGACUUCGGUCUGGUGGCGAGUGGCGAACGGGUGAGUAAUACAUCGGAACGUGCCCAGUCGUGGGGGAUAACGUAGCGAAAGCUACGCUAAUACCGCAUACGAUCUACGAAUGAAAGCGGGGGAUCGCAAGACCUCGCGCGAUGGGAGCGGCCGAUGGCAGAUUAGGUAGUUGGUAGGGUAAAGGCCUACCAAGCCGACGAUCUGUAGCUGGUCUGAGAGGAUGAUCAGCCACACUGGGACUGAGACACGGCCCAGACUCCUACGGGAGGCAGCAGUGGGGAAUUUUGGACAAUGGGCGCAAGCCUGAUCCAGCCAUUCCGCGUGCAGGAUGAAGGCCUUCGGGUUGUAAACUGCUUUUGUACAGAACGAAAAGGCUCUGGUUAAUACCUGGGGCUCAUGACGGUACUGUAAGAAUAAGCACCGGCUAACUACGUGCCAGCCGCCGCAGUAA